UACGAAGGGGGCUAGCGUUGCUCGGAAUCACUGGGCGUAAAGGGUGCGUAGGCGGGUUUUUAAGUCAGGGGUGAAAUCCUGGAGCUCAACUCCAGAACUGCCUUUGAUACUGAAGAUCUUGAGUUCGGGAGAGGUGAGUGGAACUGCGAGUGUAGAGGUGAAAUUCGUAGAUAUUCGGAGGAACACCGAUGGCGAAGGCAGCCCCCUGGGCCAAUACUGACGCUCAGGCACGAAAGCGUGGGGAGCAAGCAGG
rnacentral:rRNA from 1 species